GCAAAAGCAGAACUUUGUUCGUUUCCACGUGGGUUUACGGAAGUAAACGUUGGCGUAAUUUGUGAUUUUCCCCGGCGAAUUUUUUUGGCAAUUUCAAGGAUUUUGUGCAACGGCAGCCAACAUUUUCUUAACCAAAUGAAUAACAUUAAGAAGAAAGAGGGCAAAACUUUCGGCUAUGGCAGUUAACUUGCUACACGUCUGUUCGGAGGAGCGUGUGGGUGGAUGUUGGAGCCAGGCGUGGUGGGACAUUGACGUGAGCCGCUUCACUGACACCUUUUUAAAACAAUUUCCGGAUGACAAGAAUAACUUCUGCCUACGUCGGGUCAGCUGGAGCCUAUCCCAGCUGACUUCGGGCGACAGGCGGGGUACACCCUGGACUGGUCCCCAGCCCAUCGCAGAGCAACGGCGUCCGUAGAAGAGUAGAAGUUUUGCGGAGCAGCGACGGAUGGACAGAUGGUGCCAAAAGACAGGAAGAGUGCAAAGUGGACGAGCGAAGGAUGACUGGAAAGAGAGACGAGAGAGCCGUACUGCCCCGUCGUGCCGCCUCAGUCGCUCCGGUGCAGCGUCGCCAUGGUGACAAGCUGACGAGGGUCCCGUGGUUACUCCAACAUGGCGUCCAGCUGGUCGGCCAGGUCGUCGAACAUGCUACCGAUGUCGUCGAGGAUGCUCACGGUGGUCUUCUGCUCUGUCACAGAGCUGGGCACAAGCGCAUGCAACAAUAUCUUGUCCUCCACGGCCUGCAAGGCAGCAGCUAGCGAUGCACUCGUCUCCUCCAGCUUCUGAUGCACCAAAGAAUCUGCACCAAAGUCUGGCGUUGGGGUCACCGGCGCCGUCACCCCUACUGCUGCCAUCCCGCUGUCCACGGACACGCCCCCGAUGGAAGAGCGAGGAGGCUUCACCGGCGGGCUGGGAGUGGCAGGAGUCUGUGGAGUCUGAGGCGUGGUGGGCGUCUGAGGGGUGUGCGGACUUUGCGGAGUGGGGCUCGGUAGCUUUACGUUGGAAGGGUAGGGGGUGUUGGACUGGGAGAGGGAGGGAGGUGAGCUUGUCUGUCGGGCCACCGCAGGGUGCAACUUUGCCGGAGGAGUGGCCGGCGUCGGGGAAGGGGGGCUGGUCAUGGAGUGGAUAAGCUUGGCUGGCUUAGGCGCUGUAGGAGGGGGAGCAGGUUUGGGUGAGACCGGAGGAGGGAUCUUCUUUCCUUCCACUUGAGAGAAGAAGAGAAAGAGAGGAGGUCAGGAGGUUACACUGAAAGUCUGUUUGGUCCCAAGGGGCCUUCGGGGACAAAGUGCAGUGUGUUCUAGUUUAUAUGAAAUGAGGACACGACCAAAGUGCUUCAUAUGUCACACAGACGGCUCCAUGUGUGGGGACGUGUCCUAGAAAUAGGGAGUUGUAACAACAACAUUUCUAGUGAUUGGCUACUAUUCUGCUGUUUUCUCUGUCUUUGAUUCUUUAUUUUGCACGAUUGCCGCUGUAUUUAGAAGAGGGGCGGUUGCACUAAUUAAAUGCGACGUUCCAGUGUUUCCCACAGGACUGCAACCUAUCUGCAGUGUUGGGUUCCUUUUCUACUUUUUUAUUACGUAUUGUGUCGAUUAUGAUUCAUGACCAGCACGGAGCUGUCCCAUCACAGUCAUUCUGACUCUGCUUUGUGCGUAUGCAUAUAACACAUUUCGGCCCUACACCACCUCUUCCUGUCAUGCCAAAAGAGGGAAAGUGUGCCAUGCCUGCGCCGGAUUCUGUGCGCUCAUACUAGCCAAGCAUACCGUGCUUUAGAUGUUAAGCGGGCCCAAGCACGGAACCACCCUUACAUCAUACUCUGACAUCAUUAUACUCUCAAGGUGUGUAUAGGCGCAGUUUGGCACUAGAGUACUAGAAUAGUCAGGAUAGUGCAUGAUAUGUUGCUAUGCCGCCAAAACAAAAUAGAAUGACAACAUUACUGUAGACACUUGGAACAUGGAUAUCGCUCCUUUUGAAUAGUGACGAUGGUAUAUAUCCUUUCAGUGACCAUUUAUUGACAUUGUUGUCAAAUAUGGUUUGUAUUGUUUGUGCAAUACUUUCAUUUGGUUUGAUAAUGAAUAUUUACAGCAUUGAUCUACAUAUGGGGAAUCACGUCUCCAAAUCCUCUACAUCCUCACCCACCAUGCACACAUUCAUACCUGGACUGCCAGGUGUGCCCGGUCCUGGCAGAGGAACUCUCUUGUUCGAGGCUGUCUGGGGGGAGUUUUGUGGGCCCCCUUGUCUUUUGAUUUGUGCCACAACUGGCUUUGGGGAGACCGGUGGCUUUGGUUUUUUCACUGGCGCUCCUUCACCGCCCACCGGAGCUACUUGCUCCAAACUGUCCCUUCGAGAAACGGAAGUCACUUGGGAUUGUGGUUGAGGUUGAGGUUGAGGCUGCUCCGUCACGCCGACGUCAGACACUGGGCGGCGUUUCACGGUGGCUGUGCCGUUCUGGUAAGGUACUGGCUGUGUGGUGUUUGGGGGCCCGCUACCUGGUGGCUCUCCGUUGGGCCCGGUGAGCUCCGUGUAGCCCUCUGGCUCCUUGUCGCGACUCUUGGGCCUUCGUUUGACGGUGGACGACUCUUGGAGGGUGAAGUCUGAGCCAUUCGGGUGGGUCUUGGAGCUGCGGGGUCGUCGCUUUAAGGUCGCAGUGGCUUCCACCCUGGAGAUGUCUUCCUGUGUGUAUCCGCAGUCUGCCGGGGGGCCCUCGCCGUCACCCUGCAGACAGACACAAAAUACACACUAACGGAAAAUUCAUACAUUCGUGGCAAGAGGUCAUUUUUGCAACAGUCACAACAUUGAAAUUGAUGAAUGUACACAAAUAAGGUCUUGUUUUUUAACAUUACAACAUAGAUAAAUACAUAGAUAAAUAGACAAACAUUUAUAGAUAGCUACCUGUCCUUCUCCUCGACCUUGUCGGCGAAUAGUCAUGCUUCCCUCCUCUGCGAAUGGCAGGUUUUCUGAAGAACUGCAGCUUCCUCCAGGGCUGGGGUUGGGGGAGGACGAAGUUACAGGGGGCGGGGAAGAUUCAGGCUGGGAAAUGACGGACAUGACCGGUUGGUCGCGCCUGGCAGCCGCCACCAACUCAGUAAGAGGCCCACUAAUGGUCCGUCGUCGGUUCACUACUUCACCGUCCAGACCGAUGGUUUCUCGUGUUUUCCCAGCCUGAAAUAACAUCGUGUUGUGUCACGCCAUGAUCACAUUUUCAUAGAAUUUAUGCCAAGUCCUACCAUACCUGCAGAAAGUUCUUCUGCAGCGCCAUCCCUUUGGCUCCACCCCCAAUGGAAGACAUUUCCAGCAUGGCAGCAAUGCUCCUCACACUGCCCAUACUGUUCGUUUCCACAGUGCCCGCCUCCAAUGACACUCCCAAAUCACUGGCCCGCCGCUGCUGGUGGUAAGGCACAUCCAGCAUCCCCCCAGUGGUGCUCAGCACUUGCAGUGGUGCAUUCCCUUCCGAGAGGUUGGAGUUUGAGCUGGAGAUAGCCGAGCUGGAGCGUUUGGGCGGUGGCGGGGGAGGACCUUUUUUCUUCUGCCGCAGAGUGAUGGACUGUGGUUGGUUGCGAGAGACUGUUUUGUCCUGGUUGCGAACAGAGUGGCUGCGGCUGACACGAUGGGUAACCGUGGCGUAUUUACCGCCCUCCCCUCUAACGUUGGGGCCCUGGCUUGAGGCCACCUCCGCCUCUCCACUUCUUCCUCCUCCUCCUCCUCCUGGCCUCUCAUCACACUCGCCAUCUGAAGCAGCAUAUCGGUUGAGACUGUGGGCUCGUUUCUUCUGGAGUGCGGCGGGAUCUGCCUCAUUGCCAUCUGCCAGCUCAGCCUCUGCUGGGAGGCAGAGGAGUGGGACCUGCGGCUGUGCGCUAUCCACCAUAUUCUGGUGCUGAGGGUGGGUUUGAUGCUGCUGCGGGGACUGGACGGGAGCUCCACGACUGUUUGGCGACUGAGGUGGGUUUGAGCGUGGUGACUGAGGUCUUUCACCUUGAAGGAACUGGGGGGACACCUUGUGUUUGGACUGAGAUGAGGAUGUGCUGUGGACGGAGGAGGUGGAAGAGGAUGACGAGGUCCUGGUCUUGGUUGGUGUGUGAGGAGGUGUGUAAGGAGGAGCAGGCUGGGAAUGGGAGUGGGAGUGACGGUGUUUCCCUUGAGAAGACACGCUGCCCCUGUGGGAGGAGGUGCUUCCUUGGCUGCUCUGCUGCCUCAUUGUCCUCGCCUCCUUCUUAGGCGGUCCUCCUAUUACAGCGUCGUCAGGAUCCUUGCUGGGAGUACGUGUUGGCUGGGCUUUGGCCUCCUGACUUGAAUGGGUCAUGGCAUUCUGGAGCUCGCUACUCAACUCACUGUCCUGGAAGGUGCUCAUCUUUGGAGACAUCACAUCUAGAGAGAGAAAGGAUGAACAUUUUAUUUGCAAAGAAAUAAAUACAACUUAACUACUUAAAAGAUCUCAUACUGCAUCUGUUGGUAGAAAUAUCACCUGUAAACUCACCAUCUGGGGGCGGGCUGUCCAUUGACAUCACUUCCUGUUGCUGUGUGAUUGGUGGUGGUUUCUUUCUGAGGGAGCCCCGCCCGUCUGAAUUUCGCUGUAUUUCAGCUAGUCGCUUCACCGCCAACAUCAGCUUCUUCUGAUGGCCUAAAACAUUGACAGGUUGAAACUGUGUCUUUGUGUACAUGAUUUUGAAGAAACGUGUUAUAAUAGUCACAAUUCAAACAUGCACUAUGGGGUUACCUUAAUAGCUAACUAGCUAACUUUGACAUAAAUAAACCUUCUGCUACUAAAAUGCACUUCAUACUUAACAUUUACAUUACGUUUCAUUGUAAAAAUAACAACUAAAAUGUCACAAAUUAUGAUCACAUUCAACUAUUAGCAGACCAGGCUUGGACUACAUUUAUUCAUGAUAAAGUAUAGUCUACGGAGCUCAAUACUUAUACAUGAAUGCAUUAAAGUUAAUAAAAUACUGUAAAUCUUACCCAGUUUGGUGAUGCCUAUUUCCUGCAGGUCCUCCCAAGUGAUGUCUGUGAUGAAGUCAAUGUUCUCGUAACCAUUCUGCACCAACACUUGGUGGUACUGACUUAGGCCAAUAGCACACAACCACUCUCCUAGACUGGCCUAUAGGAACAUCAGAAACAAGCUAAUGAGUAACUUAUAUUUCUUUUUUUCCCCUCAGCACUUUCAAUUACAUGCAUGUGUCUUUUUACUCACAGGCUUCUGCUCAGGCAGCCACUCCGUAACACUCAGUUUAUUAAUCUCUGUUGUCAUCUUCUUCCUGUGACCUGGUUUACUUAUCCCGAUAGCUGUUAGAUCCUACAAACACGUAGCACAUUUGAAGUAAUACAAUCCCGCAGACACGUGCAAGCUGUCAUUCACACGUACACACAAAACAGCAGCAAAAGCGAAAGGUAGAGAGAGAAAGAGCGAGAGCAUGGAACAGAAAUAAAUGUUUCAAAAAUGACUAAAAUGCCAGGACGGCCAAUGCAAAUGUCUGCAAAAUGCAAUGAAACAGAAAUAUUUGAUUUUCGUCACGUUUAAAUUACAAAUAACAGGAUAAAAAUGACAUAUAAAUGACUUGACACGGUCAUUUACAAGUAUCAAUGAAUAAACAGCACCCUUUCUAUUAGUUUGGGGUUUCAGGCAGCCGAUGCUGGGCACACAACACACUCACAAGCAAGAGUUCGACUCUCUCUCUCCCUCCCUCCCUCACACACACGCACGCACGCAUCUGUUGCAUCAGCACCAGAUUAAUAAGAUGCCAUGACUUUGUAUGCAGGCAUCAAACGUCUGCAGCAGAGCGUAUGGAGAUGUAAAAUUAAUAUAUUCACGUUACAAAUAUAACUUACCCCUGGGAACCAAGAAUGCGCAUAAUAUCUGAUUAGGCAAUUUAAUUAGAAAUCAUUUAGUUGUUUGUGUGGAAGUGUAUUGAUUAAUCGCGUCUUGUUGCAAUAGAGACAAUAUGGAGUGCACUACUUGGCUGCAACCAGUUAACCAGCUAGUUUGUGGGCUAAAGCAGUGAUUCUCAACCGGUGGGUCGCCAGUCUUUGCCCCCCAAAAAUUGUGUAAUGACCUGAUGUCCUUGAACGCACCCCGCGUCUGUGCUAUUCGCUUGCUCCGCCACCACGAGGUGCGUGCCAUGUUUAUGGGCGACUUGGCGAAGAUUGAGCGGGGGGGGGGACAUCGAGUGUAAAGUUAACGUGCCGUCCGUCCAACACACAGCUAGAUAGUUUGACAUCUGCUGGAAAAGACCGCGCUACGAAGAGACAAGCGUCUCACCGCUGUGUUGCAUGGGGGAAUUUCGCCCAUAAUCGGACUCCCAGGUACAGUAUGAGAGGACUCUGAAGCGUUUAAUGCCAGUUCAAUGUGCUGACCCAGGCAGAUCUACAGAAGAAAUGGUCCUCCUAUUUUUAUUAUUAAGACAAAUGUCUAUAUUUAUCACAAUUACAAAUGAAAUUGAGUAGAAAUUGUUGUUCGGCCCAAUUAAGAUCACUGGUGUUCAGGGCUGUCACUCACGGCACACACGUGUGCACAUAAACAAAACCAGUCCCAGAGAAGCGAUAUUAACUUGCUGUACAUGUUUUACUGAUGUUGCAUUAUAUAUGUAAAAAUACGAGAAUGAUGCCCUG